GGGUCCCCAGGCUCCUGGUUCCCCAGGCUCUCUGUCCCUGGAAAGGAGCAGACUAGGCCCCACAGUGGCCGACUCAGAGAUAAAAAUCAAAAUUGGGCUGCGUGGGUCCAAAAGGCCCCUGCCUCCCGGUCCUCGGCACAGACCCUUCCAGCUUCUCCGCAAGGCACCAGCGGAGACGCAGAGAAAGCUGCUUCCAGACGGCUGACGCCCUUUCCUUGAAAACAGUGAUUCAAACACAAGGAAUAAAUGAGCACAAUGUUUGUGUUCUCUGGACGCGAAGAAAUACUCGGAAUCUAGCGUCACAGAUUCUCACGGGAGACGUGGACUCUCCAGAGGGUGAUAAGGCAGCUGGGACCUACAAGCCUGUGACCUGUCAGCCCCGGCCCUGUCGAGACAGUAUUUGGGCAAAAUUUAUGCACUUGUUAAACCCGCAUGGCAGCAAUUCCUCUGUCGUUUACGCCAAGAAACUGACUGGAUAA
ensembl:lncRNA